UUGUGUUUAGGGAGCAUGAGGAUGCGGGGUCCUACAAAGUGCCUGGUGGGUGAGGAUUUCAGUUUACCAUCUUCAGUUCCAGCAUCUGCUUACGCUGACUCAUUGGGACACCUGCUUUUUAAUAAUAUUCUAGGACACGCUGGAUUUCAAAUAAUUUUGUCCUGAACAUAUAGUAACGAGUGUGAAGGCCUGAUAAAAGAGCCCUGUGUAGGGGCAGAAACCGAUCAGUCCUAUGUACGGCCCUUCAAAGGCUGUUGCUGAUUGGCUGUGUCACUCACCCUCCCAUUGUAACUGAUACCAGAGGUCACCGGGCAGGCACCCGCGCUCUCCUUCUGGAUACUGGCUCCCAAGUCUCCCCCUGGCAAGGGCUUUCCUCUUUCAGCAAAAACACCGAUUCAUUUACUCAACAAGGGCUAUUGGGGGGCCCACUAUGACAGUACAAAGAUUUUUUUUUAAAGCCGUGAACCACACCAUCCGUGAACCUACAGGCUAGCAGCGAGAUAGAAAUACAAAUUUAACGUAUUUAACCAAACGUUAUCAUGAAGGCAGCAUCUGAGAGGGCCACCAAUGGUCGCUUCCUUCUGGUAUUCACAAGAUCCCCUGUCCAGCAGCCUGUGAGAAACUGAAUCCUGCUCACAGCCAUGUGAGUGAAUUUGGAGAAAGAUCCUCCCCCACGUGUGCUUUCAGAUGACUGCAGCCCAACUGACACCUUGAUUGCAGCCUUGUGGAAGACCCUGAGCCAGAGAUAUCCAGCUAAGCUGCACGUGGAUUCCUCAUACACAGAAGAUUUGAGAUAAUAAAUGACUGUUGUGGCAAGCUGCUACCUUUUCUUAGUAAUUUGUUAGGAAACAAUGGACAGCUGAUAUGAUUUCCGUCUCUGACACAAGAUCCGUGGUUCUUAAAUAGACUUUGAAGCUUGUUGGAAAAUACAUAAGCCCAGCCCUGCCUGGUGUGGCCCAGUU